rnacentral:rRNA from 1 species
AGUUUGAUCAUGGCUCAGGAUGAACGCUAGCGGCAGGCCUAACACAUGCAAGUCGAGGGGUAGAUGGUGCUUGCACCAUUGAGACCGGCGCACGGGUGCGUAACGCGUAUGCAACCUACCUUUUGCAGGGGGAUAGCCCAGGGAAACUUGGAUUAAUACCCCAUAGUAUGAUUUACCGGCAUCGGUUGGUCAUUAAAACUACGGUGGCAAAAGAUGGGCAUGCGUUCUAUUAGCUAGUAGGUGUGGUAACGGCACACCUAGGCAACGAUAGAUAGGGGCCCUGAGAGGGGGAUCCCCCACACUGGUACUGAGACACGGACCAGACUCCUACGGGAGGCAGCAGUGAGGAAUAUUGGACAAUGGGCGGAAGCCUGAUCCAGCCAUGCCGCGUGCAGGAAGACUGCCCUAUGGGUUGUAAACUGCUUUUAUACGGGAAGAAACCUCCCCUCGUGAGGGGAGCUGACGGUACCGUAAGAAUAAGGACCGGCUAACUCCGUGCCAGCAGCCGCGGUAAUACGGAGGGUCCGAGCGUUACCCGGAAUCAUUGGGUUUAAAGGGUCCGUAGGUGGAUGAUUAAGUCAGAGGUGAAAUCCUGCGGCUCAACCGUAGAAUUGCCUUUGAUACUGGUCAUCUUGAGUCGUCGUGAAGCAGUUAGAAUAUGUAGUGUAGCGGUGAAAUGCAUAGAUAUUACAUAGAAUACCGAUUGCGAAGGCAGAUUGCUAACGACGUACUGACACUGAUGGACGAAAGCGUGGGGAGCGAACAGGAUUAGAUACCCUGGNAGUCCACGCCGUAACNAUGGUCACUAGCUGCCCGGGCNCAAGCCUGGGUGG